UUUAUUAAAAUGUGAGUAGAUAUUUGCUUGUGUGAAUCCCAAAAUUAGAAAAAAGUCUAAUAAAUUAUGUAUUUCUAUGACUUGUAGAAGAAAAUCUGAUCGUGGGCGAUGGUUGCCAUCGCCUGCCCUUCUUGUGGGCUCAGUGCGGGCGAAGGCAUGCAUUGCCCGGUCAAUGGAAACCUUUGCUCGCACUUCUCGUGGGCGAUACCGGCCGGAAGUACGGGCGAAGGUUGAUUGCGGGCGAAGGCAUGCAUCGCCCAGUCAAUGGCACCCUUCGCCCCCACUUCUCGCGGGCGAUACCAGCAAGAAGCGCGGGCGAAGGUGGCGAUGGCUCCCAUCUCCCGCAACAUUUGCGAGCAAUGGCUCCCAGUGCCCGCCCAUGUUGUGGGCGAUGGGUGCCUAAACCCAACAUAAAUAAAAAAAUUUUAAAAAAUUUUUAAAAAAACUUAUGAAAUAAAUGUAAACUUCAUACUAGUAAGUAGCUUUGGUAUUAAAGAGUGGAUUACUAGGAACUAGUUUAGCAAAUUUAUUGAGAUAAAUGAAAUUUUUUUCUUAGAGACAUUUUAACGAACACAUAAUGUGCUUAUAUUUUACAAACAUUAAUUUUUAAAAAUAUUUGAAUUGUUCAUGCCAAUACAUAUCAUAAUGUGUUUUUCUAUCACUAAUAAUCCACCAAUCAAUUAAAACUUACUGUAAAAGUGUAAGGGAGGCAUACCUUUAGGUCGAAUCCUAAUGCUGUUGACAAUGUACAACCUUUUGCUGACGGAGGUUGUGCAAAUAGGGGCUGUGAUGGUGAGAUUGUGAUGAUGAGGCUGUAGAAAGAAAUUUCGAGAUAACGAGCGAUGAUGGGCGAUGCGUGAGUUAAGCGAUUUUGACAAUAGUCUUUGGAGAGAGGGUAAUUUAGUUCAUAAAAUGCGUGUGGUUAUUAUUGUAAGAAUUUUUAUUCUAUGACUAGUUUUAAUAUUGAGUUUUUGAAAGUGGCUAUACAAGAAAAUUUCCUUAAAAUUAUCGAUAAGACAUAAAUCUAAUGAUUCCUUUUUGUAGGCAAACAAAUGUCAUAUUCGAUUCUUGAUCACUUUCACCAAUACUUCUAUUGACUGUACAUGUCAUUGUAAGCACAUGCAGCUUCUUCCAUAACACUUCCAAUCAAAGUAAUUGUUUUUCAAAUACGUAUGCAAUGGCAAGCAUCUCUCUUUAAAAUAUAUAUCAAAGUCUACACCUAUUCAACUAUAUGAAAUAUAUUUCACUCUAAGAAGAUGAAUCCUCACAAAAUUGGCAAUAUCAUGAGCAUCAUUAUAGUCGUCGUCGUUGUUCACUUGUUCUUAUUAUUAUUAUUUAAAGAUAGUUAAUUUAUAUUUACGUUGUUGAAUAAUUAAUCAAUUCCAACAUUUGUAAUAUGAGCUUUUUUAAUCGGAGGCAGGUGGGAUGUGUAGAAAUUUAGGGAGAAGAAUUCUUUCGUUUCUUCAUUUUUUUUUUUUUAAAUAAGCAAGUUAGAUGCUUUAUAAAUUUCUAAUUCCUUCUUUUGUUCCUAACAUUAAACGGUCAACUUAAAAAACACGUUGAUGAA
rnacentral:lncRNA from 1 species